GUAUUUUGAAUUAUUUUAUUCGUAAUAUUUUUCAGACAAAGAGUUAAAGAGUUGGUUGAUGUUUGGUCGUUCCCAUAGAAGAGAACGACUGACAUUGCACACAAGGUGGAUAUGGAUUUUUAAAGAGUGCCAUAAAACACUCAUUGUGAAUGAUCCUUCCGCAGGUUCACCUACGGAAA
rnacentral:misc_RNA from 1 species